rnacentral:tRNA from 1 species
GGCCUCGUCGUCUAGCCUGGUCCAGGACAUCGCCCUUUCACGGCGGUAACACGGGUUCGAAUCCCGUCGAGGCUA